UACAGAGACUGCAAGCGUUAUUCGGAUUCACUGGGCGUAAAGGGCGCGUAGGUGGUUCUGUAUGUCUACCGUGAAAGCGUACGGCUCAACCGUAUUUUGUCGGUGGAAACUGCAGGACUUGAGGCUGGGAGGGGCUGGUGGAAUUCCCUGUGUAGCGGUGAAAUGCGUAGAGAUGGGGGAGAACACUCGUGGCGAAGGCGGCCAGCUAGACCAGUUCUGACACUGAGGCGCGACAGCGUGGGGAGCAAACAGG
rnacentral:rRNA from 1 species